AGUGGCAGACGGGUGCGUAACACGUAGGUGACCUGCCCUGGAGUGGGGAAUAACUAUCCUAACGGAUAGCUAAUACCGCAUAUGCUCGGUGAUUCAUUUUGCCGAGUAAAGUCGAAAGGCGCUUCAGGAUGGGCCUGCGGCGGAUUAGGUAGUUGGUGGGGUAACGGCCUACCAAGCCGAUGAUCCGUAGGGGGCGUGAGAGCGUGGCCCCCCACACUGGCACUGAGAUACGGGCCAGACUCCUACGGGAGGCAGCAGUGAGGAAUAUUGCGCAAUGGGCGAAAGCCUGACGCAGCAACGCCGCGUGAGGGACGAAGGCCUUCGGGUCGUAAACCUCUUUUCUGGGGAAAGAGCAAGGACGGUACCUCAGGAAUAAGUCUCGGCUAACUACGUGCCAGCAGCCGCGGUAAAACGUAGGAGGCGAGCGUUAUCCGGAUUUACUGGGCGUAAAGCGCACGCAGGCGGCUUCGUUAGUCGGGUGUGAAAGCUCCUAGCUUAACUGGGAGAGGCCAUUCGAUACUGCGAGGCUUGAGGUUGGGAGAGGGGUGUGGAAUUCCCGGUGUAGUGGUGGAAUGCGUAGAUAUCGGGAGGAACACCUGUGGCGAAAGCGGCACCCUGGCCCACACCUGACGCUGAGGUGCGAAAGCGUGGGGAGUAAACAGGAUUAGAUACCCUGGUAAUCCACGCUGUAAACGAUGUC
rnacentral:rRNA from 1 species